rnacentral:rRNA from 1 species
UCGAGCGCGAAAGAGGCCUUCGGGCUUCGAGUAGAGUGGCGCCCGGGUGAGUAACACGUAGGUAAUCUACCUUCGGGUGGGGAAUAACGCAGGGAAACUUGCGCUAAUACCGCAUAAUGCAGCGGCACCACAUGGUGACAGUUGUUAAAGCGGGGGAUUUUCGGACCUCGCGCCUGAAGAGGAGCCUGCGGCAGAUUAGCUAGUUGGUAGGGUAACGGCUUACCAAGGCGACGAUCUGUAGCCGGCCUGAGAGGGCGGUCGGCCACACUGACACUGACAUACGGGUCAGACUCCUACGGGAGGCAGCAGUCGGGAAUUUUGGGCAAUGGGCGAAAGCCUGACCCAGCAACGCCGCGUGAAGGAUGAAAUCCUUCGGGAUGUAAACUUCGCAAGAAUGGGAAGAAUGAACGAGUAUUAAUACUGCUCGUGAUGACGGUACCAUUUGUAAGCUCCGGCUAACUCCGUGCCAGCAGCCGCGGUAAUACGGGGGGAGCAAGCGUUGUUCGGAUUUACUGGGCGUAAAGGGCGCGUAGGCGGCCAGCGCAAGUCAGUUGUGAAAUCUCCGGGCUUAACUCGGAAAGGUCAACUGAUACUGCGCGGCUAGAGUGCGGAAGGGGCAACUGGAAUUCUCGGUGUAGCGGUGAAAUGCGUAGAUAUCGAGAGGAACACCUGCGGCGAAGGCGGGUUGCUGGGCCGACACUGACGCUGAUGCGCGAAAGCCAGGGGAGCGAACGGGAUUAGAUACCCCGGUAGUCCUGGCCUUAAACGAUGGAUGCUUGGUGUCUGGAGUUUUAUAGUCUCCGGGUGCCGCAGCUAACGCGUUAAGCAUCCCGCCUGGGGAGUACGGUCGCAAGACUGAAACUCA